CACAGAGAGCGGUUUGAUAUGUCACUGAAACCAGCAUCCAGGUGGUAUUGCUCCAUAUGCCUGAGACCCUAACAAAAGCCUAAUUACAACUCAUAUGCCUGGAGCCAGGACAUGUGCAAGAUGCCAUGAUGGUCCAAGUUAUAUUGGGAUUCAGCCAAUAGAAGAUAUUUUGCCUGUCAUCCCUAAGCUUAGGGCAAUAGACUCUGCCAAGAGAGGGGAUUAUUACAUAUUGCAGAGCCCAGCACCUAGGUGGAGUGACUCUCAUCUUUUUCUUCUACCCCGUAUAUAGCCAGCUUGGUGACCUACUAUUUGAGGCUAUACCCAGGCCCAGACCACAGAUGAAAUUGUGCAAUAUGUGGAACAAACACCUAAACAAUAUAUAACACCUUCCUUGGCUCUGUCUACAAAGGGCAGUUUUAUAUAUCACUGGGACCAUCAACCAGGUGAUGUUGUGCCAUAUAACUGAGACUGUAACAAAAGCCUAAUAACAAGACGUAUGUCUGGAGCCCCGAUAUGCACAGGAUGGUGAUAUAACCCUCUUCUCUGGAAUGGGCCCCACGCAAAGGAAGGAUAGUGACAUAUUGCAAGCCCAGGCACACAGGCCCAGAGCACAGUUGAAAUUGUGACAUAUGUACACCAAGCAACCAAGCAAUGUAUAACACCUCAUUUGGCAAUGGAAUCGAGGGCACUUUUACAUAUCACUGAG
rnacentral:lncRNA from 1 species